UGCAAGUCGAGGGAGAAGCCCGCUUCGGUGGGUGGAAACCGGCGGAAGGGCGAGGAAUACGAUCGAACGUGCCCCGAGGUGGGGGAUAGCGUCGGGAAACUGACGGUAAUACCCCAUGUGCUCUCCGGAGGAAAGCUACGGCGCCUUGGGAGCGGCGAUCGUCCUAUCAGGUUGUUGGUGAGGUAACGGCUCACCAAGCCUCAGACGGGUAGCGGGUGUGAGAGCACGACCCGCUGCAUCGGGACUGAGACACUGCCCGGACUCCUACGGGAGGCUGCAGUAACGAAUCUUCCGCAAUGCACGAAAGUGUGACGGAGCAAUGCCGAGUGUGGGAUGAAGCGGUUUUGCCGUGUAAACCACUGUCAGGACCUAGGAAGAACUGACCAGGUCCAAAGGAAGGGCCGGCUAAUCUCGUGCCAGCAGCCGCGGUAAUACGAGAGGCCCGAGCGUUAGGCGGAAUCACUGGGCUUAAAGCGUGCGUAGGUGGAUUGGCAAGCGUCUUGUGAAAGCCCUCAGCUCAACUGAGGAAUUGCGGGGCGAACUGCCAGUCUUGAGGCAGGUAGAGGUCGUCGGAACGUUAGGUGGAGCGGUGAAAUGCGUUGAUAUCUAACGGAACACCGAAGGGGUAGCCAGGCGACUGGGCCUGUCCUGACACUGAGGCACGAAAGCGUGGGGAUCAAACAGGAUUAGAUACCCUGGUAGUCCACGCCGUAAACGAUGCGCACUAGAUCGCUGACGGUCUGACCCGUUGCCGGUCGCAGAGAAAUCAUUAAGUGCGCCGCCUGGGGAGUACGGUCGCAAGGCUAAAACUCAAAGGAAUUGACGGGGGCACACACAAGCGGUGGAGCAUGUUGCUUAAUUCGAAGCAACGCGAAGAACCUUACCAGGGUUUGACAUGCACGGAUUAGCUUUUGGAAACAGGAGUGACAC
rnacentral:rRNA from 1 species